rnacentral:rRNA from 1 species
GAUGAACGCUGGCGGCGUGCCUAAUACAUGCAAGUCGAGCGAACGGACGAGAAGCCUGCUUCUCUGAUGUUAGCGGCGGUUGGGUGAGUAACACGUGGAUAACCUACCUAUCAGACUGGGACAACUUCGGGACACCGGAGAUAAUACCGGAUAAUAUAUUGAACCGCAUGGUUCCAAAGUGAAAGACGGUAUUGCUGUCACUUAUAGAUGGAUCCGCGCUGCAUUAGCUAGUUGGGAAGGUAACGGCUUACCAAAGCAACGAUUCAUAGCCGAACUGAGCAGGUGAUCAGUCACACUGUAACUGAGACGCGGUCCUUAAGCCUACGGGAGGCGACAGUAGGAAACGUUGCGCAAUAGACGAGAACCUGACGCAGCAGCGCCAGGAGGGUGAUAAGGAUUAUCCGAACGUAAAGCACUAUUAUGAGGGAAAAACAUAUGUGUUCGUAUCUGAGCACAUCAUGACGGUACCUAAUCAAAAAGCCACGGCUAACUACGUG